ACUAUUUUGGCAGAAGCAAGUGCAACAAAUUUAGAUUUUGUUUAUAUGAUUGAAUUAUCUUAAGUAGUA
rnacentral:tRNA from 1 species